GGGCCCGCACAAGCGGUGGAGUAUGUGGUUUAAUUCGAUGCAACGCGAAGAACCUUACCAGGGUUUGACAUCCUGCGAAUCUCUUGGAAACGAGAGAGUGCCUUCGGGAACGCAGUGACAGGUGGUGCAUGGCUGUCGUCAGCUCGUGUCGUGAGAUGUUGGGUUAAGUCCCGCAACGAGCGCAACCCCCAUCGUUAGUUGCCAACGAGUAAUGUCGGGAACUCUAACGAAACUGCCGGUGCAAACCGUGAGGAAGGUGGGGAUGACGUCAAAUCAUCAUGCCCCUUACAUCCUGGGCUACACACGUACUACAAUGCUACGGACAAAGGGCAGCAAGUUCGCGAGGACAAGCAAAUCCCAUAAACCGUGGCUCAGUUCAGAUCGUAGGCUGCAACUCGCCUACGUGAAGGAGGAAUCGCUAGUAAUCGCAGGU
rnacentral:rRNA from 1 species